UAGGGAAUCUUCGGCAAUGGACGAAAGUCUGACCGAGCAACGCCGCGUGAGUGAAGAAGGUUUUCGGAUCGUAAAACUCUGUUGUUAGAGAAGAACAAGGACGUUAGUAACUGAACGUCCCCUGACGGUAUCUAACCAGAAAGCCACGGCUAACUACGUGCCAGCAGCCGCGGUAAUACGUAGGUGGCAAGCGUUGUCCGGAUUUAUUGGGCGUAAAGCGAGCGCAGGCGGUUUCUUAAGUCUGAUGUGAAAGCCCCCGGCUCAACCGGGGAGGGUCAUUGGAAACUGGGGGACUUGAGUGCAGAAGAGGAGAGUGAAAUUCCAUGUGUAGCGGUGAAAUGCGUAGAUAUAUGGAGGAACACCAGUGGCGAAGGCGGCUCUCUGGUCUGUAACUGACGCUGAGGCUCGAAAGCGUGGGGAGCAAACAGG
rnacentral:rRNA from 1 species